GAGUGGACUCCUACGGGAGGCAGCAGUCGGGAAUAUUGCACAAUGGAGGAAACUCUGAUGCAGUGACACCGCGUAUAGGAAGAAGGUCUUAGGAUUGUAAGCUAUUGUCGUGUGAGAAGAAAAUGACCAUCACAGGAGGAAGCCCUGGCUAAAUAUGUGCCAGCAGCCGCGGUAAUACAUAUGGGGCGAGCGUUAUCCGGAUUUAUUGGGUGUAAAGGGUGCGUAGGCGGGAAAAUAAGUCAGUAUGUGAAAUCCCUCGGCUCAACUGAGGAACUGCAACUGAAACUAUUUUUCUUGAGUGUUGAAGGGGAAAGUGGAAUUCCUAGUGUAGCGGUGAAAUGCGUAGAGAUUAGGAGGAACACCAGUGGCGAAGGCGACUUUCUGGGCAACAACUGACGCUGAGGCACGAAAGUGUGGGGAGCAAACAGGAUUAGAUACCCUUGUAGUCCUGAGU
rnacentral:rRNA from 1 species